rnacentral:rRNA from 1 species
AUGCAGCUCUCUGUCUCUUCCAUUCCCUCCCCGAUUCUCGCCCAUCCCACGGUGACGUCGCCGCCGCCCACCACCCCCACCCCGGCGAUCAGGUGCGUCCCUCCACUCCAUCUCCUCCUCCUCACAUCCCUCCCUCACUUCCUCACAGAUCCAGGAUGCCAUGGGCGGGAUGGCCUCUUCCUCCCCUGCGUCGGCGUGUGGCAGCAUGACCGGGUCGAGAUCAUCGCCAAUGACCAGGGCAACUGCACCACGCCCUCCUACGUCGCCUUCACCGACACCGAGCGCCCCAUCGGCGACGCCGCCAAGAAUGACCUCGCCAUGAACCCCACCAACACCGUCUUUGGUACGUGUCACCCUUCCUCCCGACCCGUUGUGUAUCAUGUGUCGUCUGUUAGAUGA